rnacentral:lncRNA from 1 species
AAAUAAAGAGAUAAACCCAUGAUCUCACAAUAAUAAAAACAAAUAUUAAAAUCUUAAUAAUUAGGAAACAACCCACGUUAAACUAAACUACAAACCCAAUACUACAAUUAUUGGGAGAUUUCAGAGAAAGGAAGCUAUAUUACUUUGAUUGAAAAAACUUAGGAAACAAGUUACAAAAUACUGAAUAUUUAAAUAAAGAUAUAAACUACCCAU